GUCCUUUAGAUAUUAAUUUAAGGUCUAACCUGCCCACUGAAUAAUUUUUAAAUGGCCGCAGUAAUUUGACUGUGCAAAGGUAGCAUAAUCAUUAGUUUUUUAAUUAAAAGCUUGUAUGAAAGGUUGGACGAAGUAAAAUCUGUCUCUAAUUAAAUUAAUUUAGAAUUUAACUUUUAAGUUAAAAGGCUUAAAUUUAACUAAAAGACGAGAAGACCCUAUAGAUCUUUAUAUUUUAAUUAUUAUAUUUAAUUAAGAAUUUUUUAAAUUUUAUUAGUUAAGUUAUUUUAUUGGGGUAAUAUAAAGAUUAAAAUAAUUCUUUUUUUUUAUUUACAUUAAUUUAUGAGUUUAAUGAUCCAGUUUUAUUGAUUAAAAGAUUAAGUUACCUUAGGGAUAACAGCGUAAUUUUUUUAGAGAGUUCUUAUCGAUAAAAAAGUUUGCGACCUCGAUGUUGGAUUAAAGAUUAUUUUAGGUGCAGAAGUUUAAAAAUUUUGGUCUGUUCGACCAUUAAAUCUUUACAUGAUCUGAGUUCAGACCGGUGUAAGCCAGGUCGGUUUCUAUCUUUAGUAAAUUAAAAUAUUUUAGUACGAAAGGACCAAUUAUUUAAUAUAUUAAUAUUUAUAAUUUUUGUUUAUUAUUA
rnacentral:rRNA from 1 species